rnacentral:rRNA from 1 species
CAGAUCAGUUGCCUCCACAGGUGGCAGAAGGAACACAAGGGGAUUAGGGGAAACGGGAAAGGGGAGCGUGUACAGUGUUCUUUGGUACCUUCCCCUUCAUCGACAACGACAUUACCUUCUUUUAGUUUACCGCCUGGACCAAACCGGUAUGAACUCCAACCAAAUAGUCGGCGGGCUCCUUAGACGCGCCGCAGCAGCGGCGCUUGUCAUGAGCUAUAAGUGGUAGUACCUCCGAGACUCCGUUUACUAAGAACUUGGUUAGCAAAUGCUGUGACGACUUGUCCUAAGACCGCUUCAAUUUAAGAGGUACUAUCGGCGUAGUUUCCCUCCGAAACUGUAGUUCUAGCCGAGAGUAUGCUACGUACGCGGGUUCAUACGGUCACGUGCAGUGGGCGAGCAGAUGUACUACGAAAAACGAACGUUAGACGAGCUGCCAUUUAAGAGGACGGGCUUUCGAUACCACGGCUCUUCGUAGGAGUUGUACUAAGCCUUUAGCGCGAGCCAUAGUGCGUCGUGACCUUAACGACCUCUUAGAUAUCACCUUUCAUAGCCGCACAUACGACUCUCACUUGAUCCAACGCGACGAUAUGGAAGUUGUUAUAGGGGACGUUAGCGACGAUUUCUUCUGCUUCUGCGUCGAAUAGUGCUGUUACGUUACCCACCGCGACUGUGGGUAUGACUAUACCUCUCAUAUCGUUGUACCUACCGAGUUCGCCGUAGAGACGUACUCGUUUUGUUCUAAUACUUAACAACCCUGUUCCUACCACAUGCACUCCAUUGAGUAUGACUUGGGCUUGUAGUCUCGUAGUACCUCCGUCGCCUCUUCUUUUGACGUCGAUGGACCCAACAGCGGUGGCGGCGAUGUGUGGUGCGCUGCCCCUUGGCGCUGGAGGAUAGGCCAAAGUGCGGGCUAGUUGGCCCGGCGAAACAACUCAGUCGGCUGCCCCGCAACGGGUACGUCCAGUAGCCCGUGCCGAGGCACUAGUGACUGUGCCACCAAGAGGGGUUGCACGAGAUGCAGGGUCCCGAGUCCAGAUUGGAGCAGAGGCGGUCGGUCGAGCGGCUCGAUCUGAUGUGGCACCCCAAGUCGGCGCCGUGCACGGUGUAGUCCUCACGGCGACUACCGUGGUAGCGGCCGUUUCGGUCACAACCUCCUCUACCUAACAAGGCCGACCUGAAGGACUUUCAGUACCGGAGGUAAUGUCCGCGCAAUAAACUUAUUAUCUUCAAGGAGAAUGGUCUUAUACGUACAAACUCAUAUCUUUGAGUACCAAGAUACAUUAAACUUAUUCAUGUACCUUGACGUCGAAACGUACCGGCUUACGUCGAAGCAUGACCCGCACAUACGGAACUUCUUGAUACUUUGGUACAAACUAGUUAAACUAUAUGUACAUACAUUACAUAG